UACGAAGGGGGCCAGCGUUGCUCGGAAUCACUGGGCGUAAAGCGCACGUAGGCGGACUCUUAAGUCGGUGGUGAAAUCCUGGAGCUCAACUCCAGAACUGCCUUCGAUACUGGCGAUCUUGAGUCCGGGAGAGGUGAGUGGAACUGCGAGUGUAGAGGUGAAAUUCGUAGAUAUUCGCAAGAACACCAGUGGCGAAGGCGGCUCACUGGCCCGGUACUGACGCUGAGGUGCGAAAGCGUGGGGAGCAAACAGG
rnacentral:rRNA from 1 species